rnacentral:rRNA from 1 species
GACGAACGCUGGCGGCGUGCCUAAUACAUGCAAGUAGAACGCUGAAGAGAGGAGCUUGCUCUUCUUGGAUGAGUUGCGAACGGGUGAGUAACGCGUAGGUAACCUGCCUGGUAGCGGGGGAUAACUAUCGGAAACGAUAGCUAAUACCGCAUAAAAUGGAUUAUCGCAUGAUAAUCCAUUGAAAGGUGCAAAUGCAUCACUACCAGAUGGACCUGCGUUGUAUUAGCUAGUUGGUGGGGUAACGGCUCACCAAGGCGACGAUACAUAGCCGACCUGAGAGGGUGAUCGGCCACACUGGGACUGAGACACGGCCCAGACUCCUACGGGAGGCAGCAGUAGGGAAUCUUCGGCAAUGGACGGAAGUCUGACCGAGCAACGCCGCGUGAGUGAAGAAGGUUUUCGGAUCGUAAAGCUCUGUUGUAAGAGAAGAACGAGUGUGAGAGUGGAAAGUUCACACUGUGACGGUAUCUUACCAGAAAGGGACGGCUAACUACGUG